rnacentral:lncRNA from 1 species
UUUUUACAUGGUUCUCUUGGUAUCUACAUAAAGUCUGAUAUCAGGUUUUUCUUGGUAUUAACUAUACAUUUCUAUACAGGGUUUUUAUUAACAGCUGGUGUCACACGAACAUUGAUUUGUUACAUUUCUAUACAGGGUUUUUAUUAACAGCUGGUGUCACACGAACAUUGAUUUGUUAAUGACUGAAUCUCUUCAUUACGUUAUAUGUUUCUAGCUUAGGUAGAAGCAACAAGAACAGAUAGUUCAAAGAAUUACUGGUUAUUAUAAAUACUUGAUAAAAAAUAUUUAGCAACACACUAUAUUUUAUGUUUUUACUAUCCUAGAAAAAAUAUACACGCCA